rnacentral:lncRNA from 1 species
CGCCGCCGCGCGCUGCUCCUCCUGCUGCUGCGAGCUGUCAGUCCAGCCCCGCUCCGCCCCCCGGCUCCGCCCCCGGGUCACCUUCCCCUCCGCGCCGCACGCUUCUGGGUUCCCUCUUGCUGCUCAGCGUACCGGGGGGCGGGGGGUAGGGGGGAGAACGGGGGCCGAGGGCUUCUAGGGGCUCCGAGAAGACGCCGGCGAGGCUGCAGACCUCGGGGGUUCCAGUGCAGUGACAUCACGAGGAGGUCACACCCGUGCAGCCAGAGGCGGAGCUGGAUGCGGAUUGUAACCCUCGCACCUGUAGGGCUGCCCUCGUCCCCGAUAGUCCUGGGCCCGACCCCGGGGGCAAAGAGACCAAGGCAGAGUCGGGUGGAAGGUUUUCUGAGCGAUGGGAGGGCCGAGGGGACGGACACGGAAAGGAAGGACUUUGUAAAUGAGGGUGGUUCUCGUGCUGGACGGGAUCCAUCCUCCCGGGCCCCAGGUUGCAUGGUGCAGACGAGGUAAGGAAACCGGUGACCCCGACUAGCCGGUGACUCAGCACAGGUUGGGCCUGCGCCCAGAGCCCGGCACGGUGUCCCCGUGCGGCUGAGGCUUGCCCCCCAAAGGACCUGGGGACCGACGCGAAAGCAAGUUCCCGGUCUGCCCAGACAGAGGCUGGCACAGCACGGGCAGCAAAGGGCCCACCAGCUGAGGACUGAGAAAACCCCACUGCUCGCUCUGAAGUCGCAGCUCCAGCUCUCCAGGGCCUUCAUUUGCGAGGUGACUGUCACCAGGGUCACUCCAGGGGGCUUGGCUGGGAGACAGGAGGAUGCAUGUGGGAAAAUCCUACAGCCCUGCAGGUGGGUGAGCCGGGCUCCCAGACGGUGGUGCAGAAAGAUGCUGAUGGCCUGGGCAACAGGCUGGAAGUGUGACUUCAUGUCCUGGGCACUGAGGUGUGACCUGAUGUGUGUCACUUGCGUUGACUGCAUGCACGGUGGCCCUUCCUUCCUGCAGGAUUCUAGGCGGAGUCAAAUGUGCUGAUCUGGUGGAGGAGACAAGCGCCACCUGCUGGCUUCCUCCUCCCCCCAAACCUCCUCUCUCACCAACCUCUAUUAUCCCCUCAACCUCCCAGACGUUUAAAAACCGGGCUUGAUAUGCUAUAUGUUGGCAAAUUGAACUCCAAUUAAAAAAAGAAAAAUAGAUUGUCAUUGUGUUUCAGACAAUCGUUUGACACAGCUCCACGCCUAAGCUAGUCUCAUUCUCAUUGCUAUCCUUUGUUCCAUAAGCUCUUAGCUUCUUUUAAAACUAAUGUUUCUGUAUUAUGCACACAGAAAUACUCAUACAGUUUUAUACAAAUUCAUGCACAGAAUCUUAUGCACAUUGUAAAUGGUCUUAGUGCUUGCAGGCAGUCUAUUUUUUAUAGCUUGUAAAAAUAAAUAAAUAAUAAAAUAAAUAAUAAAAACCAGGCUUGAAAACAAAAACAAUAGUAAAUAAAAGCACACUUGUAUCACCUUCGAAAACUAACCCCCUUCUCCUCUCCUUACUGGCCUUUCUCCAAAAGGUGAGUUAGAAACAGACACAAAGAAUUUCCAAUGGAAAAAAAAAAAAAAAGAAUUUCCAAUGAAUAUCUUCAGCUAAACCAAAGUAGUCCCUGCCACCGGUGUGUACAGUAGGGUUGGGGACAUCUAGCAGAUUGCAAAUUUAGUUCAGGUCGCAAAUUGUAGUGAUGCAUCAUAGAAAGCAUCUUUUUUUUUUUUUUUUUAAGAUCACAAAUUCUUUUUUAGGGGAAAUGAUGGAAUAGGAGUUCAGGAUUUGUUUUUCAACAAGUGCUCAGUCCUCCCGUUAGGUUGCCACAGUCACUACAGUUUGCUUUUCCUUCUGCGGAUUGCUAAAGUGCAAACUCCAUGGGGGUGGGACCCACCCGGUGGAACCCACCCAUCUCUGUAACUCCCACCCCGGGGUCUAAGAUAGUACUUUAUGUGUAAUGAGUGCAGGAGAAAUAUUGGUAAUUCAGCAUUGCGCAAUAGGCCGAGUGAGCAAUACACCUGUCUAUUGCACAAAAGAAAGCUUGCCAUUUGUGGGCAUGUCUUUCAAAUGAGGUCCCUGAAUGAGAAAGUUUUUCCUUGAAAAACUUGACCCUUAAAACUGACCUUGAUUUAAAAAAAAAAAAAAAACUGACCUUGAUUAUUUUUAGAUAUUCAAGAACUUGACAAACUAUUUUCUCUUGCUGCCUUGCUUGCCUAUUUUUCUCAAAAAAAAGAUGGACAUCACUGUUUUAUCAAAUACUCUUCCUACUUCUUCUGGAAACAGGACCGUCUUCCCAUUCACUCUCCCCGCUCCAUACGUACAGUUGUUUGAUAGCAGCAGUGCUAUGACGUCGCCCCGGCUGGUCAUCCUGGCUAAUCUAGAAGCGGACUUCUGACCAAGUGACAGGGCACUCAGAGGAUCAGAGGGUCCUGAUGAUGUCCAAACCCAAAAUUCUGACCGUUCCUGAUUUGUGUCUUUAGUUUCUACGAGAUAUCCAGCAUAUUUGUAAUGCAUUCUACUGGUCCCCUAAGUCAAUUUUAUUUGGUUUGCUCUUAGUGCAACCAAGAGCUCUAGUUCAUGCAUUAAAUUUACCAUAUUUUAGUCUUUAUUCCCUCUCGUGUCCCUGUAGAACUUUAUUUUUGGAUGGUCCACUAAUAAUUUCUUACAAACUAUUUGGAUAACCCAGCAGAUUUUUUUUUCAUGCUUUAUCUUUAGUACCUUCCAAUCAUGUUCACAAAAAAAAUUUUUUUAAGAUUUUAUUUAUUUAUUCAUGAGAGACACACAGAGAGAGGCAGAGACACAGGCAGUGGGAGAAGCAGGCUUCACGCCAGAAGCCCGACGUGGGACUCGAUCCCGAGUCUCCAGGAUCAUGCCCUGGGCUGAAGGCGGCGCUAAACCGCUGGGCCACCCAGGAUACCCCAUUUUUACAAAAUUAACAGGAUUCGAAUGACUGAGAAAAUGGAGGACAUAGAAAUAUUCUCAGAUUAAAAUAUUGGUUAUUAGGAGAAAAGUGAUCAGUUUCAUCAACAAAUUAAAACAUUUUAGAACCUAUGUAUUAAAAAAAAAAAAAAACUUCUGUGCUCUGAAAAGAUGCCAGACUCUUCCAUAUUUAAGACCCAAUUCUUUUAUUCUUGCUGGGAAAAUAGAGCUUAUAAGAAUCGAACUUAAGAAUGGCAGAUGGAUUUGAGCAGGGCUAUUAGGCCUAUACCAUCUUCCCAGAAACCCAUGAAGAAUCCUCUUCUGGGGGAAACUCAAACUAUUUACCAAAGACAUGGGCAUGGUCACCCACGUUUGUCCUUCACAGUUCUGACUGCUACCCACUCCCCCACCCAUAGCUAAUUAGAUAAGAGGGGCUGACACGAGAUCCAGCCAGCCCCAAACAGGAGAGUUCACCCAUUAGACUCUCCUGAAAAUUGAAGCAAAACACACGGAGACCAUAGUAGAGGAACAGCAGGUAUUUGACCCCAAAAGCAGCCAGAGUCAGGACUUAUUCGCAUCUUUUUAACCUUAAUAUUCUCCAAUCUCCCUGCUUCAGCUUCCUCUUUCUUAAAAAAAAAAAAAAAAAAAAAAAAGAAUAAGAAUAUUCCCUGCAUAACACCAACCUUUUUGGUUAUUCCCUCCACAUGCUCUCUCAUACUUAAGUAUUCUCUUUGUACAGUAUCAGUAAAUAUUUAUAAGUAAAUAUUUAUUUGGAAGUGAUCAGAGUGUGUUGUAUUCAUUUGUCUUCAAGCACAUCAGGGGCAGAGCUCAGGCCUUUUUCCCCCAAAUGAUUCAAUAAAAAAUAUUGUCUGAGAUGUUUGUGUAUUAUAAGGCAACAAGUAACACCCACAUGAGUUUCUCUGAAGAGAAUCAAUAUUCCUAUCUAGGACAUGUUUAAGAGAUUUUCCUAGCCUUCAAAAACACCGAUCCAAACCAGUUGGUUAAUCACAAAGUGAAUUUAGCAAAAUGAGAAAAACUGAUGGCCCAAGUUUUUCAGAAAGCUGAAUGUAUUUAAUAUCAAGAAUAGAAUGUAAAUAUUGGACUGGGUGUGCACAUGGGAGACUGUGCCUUUCCUAUUUUUUUCCAAAUCAUGGUAAUAAUAAAUUCCAGUCAAGUAAGUUUAUUCUUAUUUGGAAGAGGAAAAAAAAAGAAGGUAGGCUACUAGAGUCAGCUUUCAAAUUUAUUUUUUAAAAGUUAUUUAUGGUGAAAUCAAAAAGCCUACAAAGAACUUCCAGAAUUUAUCAUGGGUCUGCAAAGAGGAUAUUACCUGCCCUUAGAUUUUGAAAUCUUUCACAGCUGACUAUUGUCCAGAUGCAGCUUUUUUUGCCCUCUCCACUCCAACCUGCCAACACAAAUCCUCAACUGCCUCCUAGGGGCUCAUUUUUACUUCUCAUGGAGCAAAGCAGCUACCACCAUGCGACCAAGCCCUGCCCUGCCUCCUUCCCCCGGUCACCUCCCACACUCAAGCAGAGCUCCAUCUCCUAGACCAAGGAGAUUUUAUUCCCCUUUCCACUGCACCUCCUGUUAAAUAAAGAAACCACAAAAUCUGGGCCAUCAAGAUAAGAUUCUCAAAGAGCUUACCUUCUAGAACCAUUCCCUGGAUGACAAUAGAGGAACUAUCCGUGAAUGAACGAAUUAAUAGACUUUAAUCUCUGUUCUAGUUUCAUAGAUACACUUAAUCUCAUGAUAGAAAUGCCAGUUUUGUGUGAUUUUAAAAUUAUUUUUAAACAACAUGUUUUUAAAAUUCUACAAGUGAAAUAUCAUAGCCCUAAUAGUAUGGCAGGAAGACAACACUCUGACCUAGAACUUCUGAGAGUAUAGUGUUUUUUAAAAGAUUUAUUUAUUUAUUUGAGAGAGAGCGAGAGAGAGAGCAUGAGCGGGAGGGGCAGAGGGAGAGGGAGAGAGAAUCUCGAGCAGAUGGCACGCUCGGCGCGAAGCCCUACGUGGGGCCCCAUCUCACGACCCUGAGAUCAUGACCUCAGCUGAAACCAAGAGUCAGAUGUUUAACCGACUGUCCACCUGGGUGUCCCCAAGAGCAUUUUGAAAGAACCAAUGAGAAAGACUUAGCUUGGACCACCCAGCAUGGGAAGCUGAAUGUGACAAAAAAAAAAGAGUUUUUUAGCUUA